rnacentral:lncRNA from 12 species
AUCUUUUUUUAAACUUAGAUCCUCUGUCUGAAAUAGAAAGAAAAUUGCUUACCUAUUUAGCUAAGGCAGAAACAAUUUCCUGAUAGGAAGGUGACUCAGCAGCCUGGGGAGGCUGGAUAGCCUCUCGUCCUGGAAGUCUUCAGGGAGACAGAGGCGGCCAGCUGCCUGGAUGGAUUAAAGCGUGGUGCUUGAAGACUGGUUAAUAGAUCCAGUUUCAACCCAGUAACACAGCGGUACUCAAGACACAAGUCGACCAACCUCACCCCCAACAGAUUACUUAAAAGAACAGCUCUUGAAAAUACACAGUCACUCGUUUCUGUUUUUCUGC